rnacentral:rRNA from 1 species
UACGUAGGGGGCUAGCGUUGUCCGGAAUCAUUGGGCGUAAAGAGCGUGUAGGCGGUCCGGUAAGUCCGCUGUAAAAGUCAACGGCUCAACUGUUGAAAGCCGGUGGAUACUGUCGGGCUAGAGUACGGAAGAGGCAAGUGGAAUUCCUGGUGUAGCGGUGGAAUGCGCAGAUAUCAGGAGGAACACCCAUAGCGAAGGCAGCUUGCUGGGACGUUACUGACGCUAAGGCGCGAAAGCGUGGGGAGCGAACAGG